UGUUGCAUUGCCCAAAGUCCUAAACUGUUGCAACCAUCGUGCCCUAUUCCCACCAGAAACCCAUCUGCACUACAUUUAUGAUCUUAUCAGGCGGGUGCAGGCUGCCUGCCUUGAACAUUACCGCGACAGAGGGUAACAGAGCCAAAAGCACAGGCUUUUCUUUGUACCAUGAGAAAAAAUCCCUGCUCUAAGGCCUGAGCAGGAAAGAACUGCAGGCUGCAGCCUCUGAGAAAAAACUGCUUGAGUUGGGAUUCAAAGUUCAAAUUGUCUACCCAACAUAUUUUGGAGUUGGAAGCAAAUGAAUAAUGGCCAUCGACAUGUUGUUGCAUCUUGCAACUGAUGGACAGACGUGACAAUGGAGCAGAGAGGGCAGAGGAAGACUGUGAGUAGUGGGGGAUGUUGGUUAUGUCCAAACUGACACUGUAGAAUCAUAGUUGCAAAAGAGAAGAUCAGAGAACAUGGCUUUUAGCUUUUGUUUGCUCGCCUAUAAAUGAUAGCUUUUCCCACGCUCGAGGUCUGCCAAAAGAAAGAUCAGAAAAGCAGAAAAAAGAAAGAAAAUACAGAUCAUUGUACUCUGCUGGCUGCACAAAAUGAAUUUAAAGCCACCAAUUUUUUUGCAAUCGUCAUCAUUGUGUCUGCCCUUUGACCACUCCCCAUUGGCUCGCGUCAUUGUCAUGCAACCACCUGGGCAAUGAUGACCGUGAUCUUCCCUCUUUAAGUUGCCACCGUUUUUUUGUCCCAACUCAUUGUCCAUUUUGCUGCUAGAAAAAAGCUGGUUCUUGCCAUUGCUGACUCUGGAAAACUAGCAGUGCAGCUCUCUCUCUACCUCUCUCCCUUUCCUUCCCAACCCAUCAUCCUUUCAGUCUAUAUGUAGACAUAAACUUCAGGAUGGCCUUCUUCUCUAUUUUCACCAUGAAAAUAUUGUUGGGGAUGAUGCAUCAAAAGCAAGAACCAUGUUGCCAUGGUAAUACUGGUUUCUGAUACAAGAUACUGACGUGCAAACUACUGACUCAGCUGUGACCUUGUGCAAGCAAUGCCAAAGACGGAUUCAAUGAGGCACCCAUUGUAGAGAACUUACUCUUUUUUAUUACUGGCACAUGAGCAUAUGCAUAGCUUUGGAAAUUUUAAGAGUUCCAAGCAUCACAGUUCUUAUUAAGAGAAAAGUUGGAGAUAUUCAAGCACUGCAUGACUUAGAACAUUUGAAAAUGAAGGGACAAGCAAACUUUGUCUUAGCAUGUCCAACUAGGUUACAGCAAUUUGAACCAUUUGCUGUUUGUCAACUUUCUCUAAGAAUGCGGUCAAUCGCUAAUACUACGAGGUUGAAGCACAUUCUUGUUACUAUUACUAGUAAGUACUAUGAGCAAUUAAGAAGCUUGCUCCAGGUUAUGAGCUGCUUCAGUUCAAGUAUCAGGAAUCUCAUGCAACUGUAACUGCAGAUCUACCGUCAUACAGGCGGCCCUUUGAAGGGAAUGAAGUGAAUGGUUCAGAAGCUUUCUCACUUCAUGGAGGCAACGUAGGCAGAUAUUUUGCAUUUUUUUUUUGCACCUUUUCAUGUAAUCCAGCUCUUAGAAGAUAGAACAAUAAAUGUUUCCAUGAAGUUUGAAAGCAUGUAGAUAGUACACUUCCGUUGCUAAUUGUUGAAUUGCAGCAGCAUAAAGAGACAGUACAACUGUAAGAUUUGGUCUUGAAAUUUUGAAACAGUUGGUUUUAGUUGAUUA